rnacentral:lncRNA from 1 species
CCUCUUCUUCUAUGUGGAUGUAAUCUAUUAGUGUUUGAAGGGAUGUCUCCUUUUAUUUGUAGUGCAUGAUUUUUUGAGAUUCUCUCCAUAAAGGUGGUAACUUAUCGAUGAUGCCAUAGACAAUGAUAUUAUCUCCAAUUUUGAUAUCCUCAGAUUGAAGAUCUCCAAUUAUCAUCACAAAGUCUUGAGCUUGGUCCAUUAUGGAUUUGGCGUCCACCAUUUGGAUUGCAAAAUAUUUCUU